GGGGGUGUAGCUCAGUGGUAAAGCGCAUGCUUAGCAUGCACGAGGUCCUGGGUUCAAUCCCCAGCACCUCCACUG
rnacentral:tRNA from 1 species